AUCCUCAACAAAUGAAGCAAAGAUUGAGACAUUGGGCUCAAGCAGUUGCAUGUUCUGUUAUGCAGUCUUAUUGAAGGAGUGUAUAUGUGAGAGAUAGGAAGAAACGAAUCUUUUAUAAUUAGGAUUCGGAAGAAACAAAAAAAAAAGCAGAAAAAUAUAGAAAAUUUUGGAGAAAAAGAGAUGAAAAUUGUGGCUCUGUAUAUAUAUACUCACAAGAUGAGAGAAAGAGAAAGAAAAAAAAAACACCUCUUGUUCAUAAGCUGUAUACAAAAAAAGAUUACAAUAUGAUCUUGGAUUGGAUAAUAAAAUGAACCUUUUUUCUAAAUAGUCGAUUUUUAAACGAAAAAGAGAGAAAAGCUUUUCAAGAAAACAUGAAGAGAACAUGAAGAGAUUUGAGACGUCAGGGUGUAUUUUGCACAAAACGUAUGAUUGGGUGUAUUUUAUUAUAAGUAAAUAUAUGAGGGUCUAAAAGAAAGCCUCUCGAAUCAUCUUAAAACCUAGAAGCCUCCAAGUCCGACCAACUGAAAAAAGCUUGUUCUUCUGAUAAUCAGACACAAACAACACCGGUAUCGACGAACGGAACUAACUCCGAUAUCCAAAACCCACUUCCAAGUUUCAUUAACUAAUCCGAGACAAAAGAUAGGGCUUUGUAUCUGCCAUGGCUCCUGAUGCUUCUACUGCUCUAGCAGGUCUGUUCUCUUCCUGCUUCGAUAUCUAUCUUUAAAUGCGUAUAAAUAUUCCUUUGAUGGGUUCUCUUAGUUUUCUUUAGCCACUCACCAAAUUAAUGCGGAACUAACUCCUAGUCGUGGUCGGACCACUCACCAAAGCCAUAACUUUCCCCAGUGUUCCGACGAAGAUGGAGUUGUCUCUUAUGGACCGCUUCAACAGAUGGUUACGCACCUUCAGACCUGAACCCCAUCACUAAGCAUUUGCUAUCUAUUUGGUUUUGAGAUUAGCUAAUUAAAGUUUCUCUCCCUUGUUAAUCUCUUUAGUAUUUUGUUUCGAAUUUAGUUUUUAUAUUUCCAUCGUUCCACCUAUGUACACAUUUCUUUAAUUAAUCCAACUUCGUGCAUUAACUUAAGACACAAGUAACAUCUUUUCCCAAUUUGAAGAGAAACUGACACAGUAAAGGCCUAUGACCAAACCUGUAACGUACUGUGUAAGCUAUAUAUAAAGGUAAUGAACAAUUGAGUUUCAUCUCUAGUUCAUACACACUCUGACAAAACAUUCAGUAGAAUUUUUUUGGAUCAGAGAGAUAAGAAUUAAUGUAGUGCUUAGCUAAAAGAAUUUAUGUUUAGUUAUAAACUGAUAUGAUGUCGCCAAUGAGAGCCAGCAAGAUGAUGAAGCCUAUGAUCAUGUUGAUGAGAGAGAUAUACGGUGGAUUCUCUCGUUUUCUCUCAAUUGCUUCCUCUGUAAUCAACAAGCCCUUUUUCUCUGUCUUCACCAUUCCUUGUUUAACCUGAAAAGGAAACUACAUCAUUCAUCAUCUUUAAGAUCUAAAAUAUGUUUGAGAUUAUAAAAUAGACACAAAAUCAACAUAGGAGCAACUCAAGAACUCUAGUUUCGAUGAUAUUGUGCACUGUGCGAGUUGAGAUUCCCGGGUCUUUCUACUAAUGGAAGGUUCAUCAGAAAUUUGUAUAUCUUUGCUCAACGAUAGAAUCUCGUCUCCGCAAGUCUUGAGGAAGUGCCUAUUUGAACUACCAACAGUAUCAAUUGGACUUGAUGUUCCUUUGUAACUCUGUCAUAUUAGAAUUAAAUACUGAAAAUACAGAUUAAUACUCCAUGGAAGUCAUUAGGAAAAUGAGUGAUAUGUGCUUUACCGUUGCAGACAUUGAUUCAGCAUAGCUAUCACUAUCACUGCUAUAAUCAACAAUGAUCCCUGACAAAGAUAUCUUUGGCCUGUAAUCGUUGCGGUUCUCUUGCAUUAUGAAUUCUUGAUCAGGAAACACAUCUUCAAAAUUCCCUCCGUUAUAACUCAGCAAUCCACUCCAAUAUUCAUCAUUUCUAGGAUCAAAUGCAUUCCGCGGAAAGAGAUCCUCUUGUUCGUUCAUUGGAACUCCCAAAUCAUGUACAUUUUCUUGACCUGGCUGCUCAAUCUGAAAACGUAAAAGAGAGUGUGAGUAAUAGAAUCAAGAACUUGAGAUAAAUAAAGAAACAUGUCAGAAACUGGACUCACCUCAGGCUCUGUGUUAAUAGCUCUGACAGAAUCUUUUGGCCUGGAAUCAAUGUACAUCUCCUGCAUUUCUUGAUCGGAAAGAAAAUGUUGAGCUGUCCCUCGGUAAGCAGGUGGUAAUCCACGCAGAAACUCAUCAUCUUCUUGGGCUAGGUAAGGAGUUAAGCUUUCUUGACCUGGCUGCUCAACCUGAAAAUGUAAAGAGGCAACGAGUAACGAAACCACUCGAUACUAAUGAGCACCGAAACAUUUCAGAAACUGGACUCACCUCUGGUAGUAUGCUAGUAGAGACACUGAUAGUAUUCAAAUCAGAGACCAGAGAUUGACUUGCCACGCUCAAGCUAUUACCAUUUUGAAUGUCUGCCUCUUUACCCUUAUCAAAUAUUUUGCAGAUAACAUAGGAAUCCUGAACAAUAUCAAAAUCACACACACACAAAUUCAUAUUUUCGGUAACACACUCAUUAAGCCACAAUGGUUAUAUUUCUUCUAUUAACUCACAGAAAUGUAUCAUCCAUGAUCUAACACUAGAAAAAAUCUCAAAAUGACUAUCAUCCAAAAAAAGUUGCAUCAAAAUGUUUAUGUAAAAAACGAAAGUACCAAAUUAUGAUGAGGCAAAGAAGUUAUCUUAUACUCAUGCAUAACCCAGCGACUCUUAUUCCCCUUGGUUUUAGGAUCUCCGUAUUUUUGGUACAGAAAACCCUGUCUUUCUCCAAUCUUGUUUCCACUCUCAUCUUCGAUUACCUUGACCCGGCCACUAUGUUUCCAAUACCAAUAUUUUUCUUUGGUGUUUCUCUUCCUCACCGUCUCGGUUUUGUACUGCUUGGGGACAAAGAAAUAGUAUAUACUAUCGUUCGAUUUGAUCCUCGAUAAAGCUGUAACAAAACCCACAAAAUCAAAAUCAGAAGUUAUUAAUCGAAAUCAAAGUGAAGAAAGUAGUGAGUUACAUGAAAAAGAAGAGGGAUGGUGAUUUAGUAUGUUGAUCUCGCAGAUAGUGUCGUCGACGAGCCAUGUGUUACCCAUAAUCUUGUUCUUCAGAUAAUAAUUUAUCAGUUCCUCGUCUGUUGGUUGAAAUCUGAAUCCCGGUUUUUGCUCCAUCUUCACUACAAAAUCAAGAAUGAUGAAGUUUCUCUCAAAGGCGUCUUGUUUUUUCUUUUUCUUUUUCUCUAUGGGCUCUGUUUUGGUUUUUUUUUAGGGGGAAGAGAAACAAGAGAGAGGUAUUUAAAUUGUCGAAUUAAAAGAAAAACUUAAUUAAAAUUGAACGCUUCUUUUUAAUGUCUUAUUUCUUACGCUACUCAUAAAACAAACAAAUUCACAAAUGUAAUUAAACACCGUGUGGAUUCCACUGACUUUGUAGCUCAAUUAAUUACUUGAUGUAGACGGUAAUUAAAACCGUGUGUCUCUCUAUUCUUUUAAUCUUUUUCUUUAAAUCAUCUUAUAAAUGUGAACUUGAUACAAUAUGUUAUGUGGUUCAAGUUAUAUGAUAAUAUACAAAAAAAAAAAACUUUCGUUAAUAAUGAUAGUAUACAUUGUGUUACUCUUGAGAAUGUUAGACAAGGAAUACGUUGCGAUUUUUGUUUGAAUUCCUCUACUUUAUUUAAAUUCCAUUUGAUUUGAGACGACUAAUUAGUUUGUUUUAUGUACAUGUAUCCAUUUCUUUAGUGGAAAACUUUUACCAAGAAAAAGUUUGUUAUUAUCCUUUGAAUUAGUUUUAAUUAUAGUCUGGUAUGUAUGUGAGUGGUGCCAGUCAUACCCAAUACCCAUAAUGUGGAACCUAAAGCAAAGUAUUUUUCUAGCUAAACUCUUUUUACUAUAAAAGGUAUUUACAAGUCAAUACUCAUAAUGUUUUAGAAAGAUAGAUAGCGAAACACGAGGUUGAUUAGUUUAUAAAUGGGUUAAUUAUAUAUACCAAAAUUUAGACUAAUGCUGAAAUUUGUAAAAUGGUUGAUAACUAAACACAUUCUAUGAAGAAACGAAUCUUUUAUAAUUAGGAUUCGGAAGAAACAAAAAAAAAAAGCAGAAAAAUAUAGAAAAUUUUGGAGAAAAAGAGAUGAAAAUUGUGGCUCAUAUAUAUAUAUAUAUAUACUCACAAGAUGAGAGAAAGAGAAAGUAAAAAAAAACACCUCUUGUUCAUAAGCUGUAU
rnacentral:lncRNA from 1 species